rnacentral:rRNA from 1 species
GAUGAACGCUGGCGGCGUGCUUAACACAUGCAAGUCGAACGAAGCUGCCCAAAGGAAGUUUUCGGAUGGAAUUUAGGUAGACUUAGUGGCGGACGGGUGAGUAACGCGUGGAUAACCUGCCUUAUACAGGGGGAUAACGGAGAGAAAUUUCCGCUAACACCGCAUAAGACCACAGCACCGCAUGGUGCAGGGGUAAAAUAUUUAUAGGUAUAAGAUGGAUCCGCGUCCGAUUAGCUAGUUGGUGAGGUAAAGGCCCACCAAGGCGACGAUCGGUAGCCGGCCUGAGAGGGUGAACGGCCACAUUGGGACUGAGACACGGCCCAAACUCCUACGGGAGGCAGCAGUGGGGAAUAUUGGACAAUGGGGGAAACCCUGAUCCAGCGACGCCGCGUGAGUGAAGAAGUAUUUCGGUAUGUAAAGCUCUAUCAGCAGGGAAGAAAAUGACGGUACCUGACUAAGAAGCCCCGGCUAACUACGUGCCAGCAGCCGCGGUAAUACGUAGGGGGCAAGCGUUAUCCGGAUUUACUGGGUGUAAAGGGAGCGCAGACGGCAAUGCAAGUCUGAAGUGAAAGGCGUGGGCUCAACCCAUGAACUGCUUUGGAAACUGUAUAGCUUGAGUGUCGGAGGGGUAAGCGGAAUUCCUAGUGUAGCGGUGAAAUGCGUAGAUAUAUGGAGGAACACCGGUGGCGAAAGCGGCUCUCUGGUCUGUAACUGACGCUGAGGCUCGAAAGCGUGGGGAGCAAACAGG